rnacentral:rRNA from 1 species
UACGUAGGGUGCGAGCGUUGUCCGGAAUUAUUGGGCGUAAAGAGCUUGUAGGCGGUUUGUCGCGUCUGCUGUGAAAACUGGAGGCUCAACCUCCAGCCUGCAGUGGGUACGGGCAGACUAGAGUGCGGUAGGGGAGAUUGGAAUUCCUGGUGUAGCGGUGGAAUGCGCAGAUAUCGGGAGGAACACCGGUGGCGAAGGCGGCGACCUGGGUCGAUACUGACGCUGAGGUGCGAAAGCGUGGGGAGCAAACAGG